GACGAACGCUGGCGGCGUGCUUAACACAUGCAAGUCGAACGGAAAGGCCCUUCGGGGUACUCGAGUGGCGAACGGGUGAGUAACACGUGGGUGAUCUUCCCUGCACUUUGGGAUAAGCCUGGGAAACUGGGUCUAAUACCGUAUAGGACCACGCGCUUCAUCGUGUGUGGUGGAAAGCUUUUGCGGUGUGGGAUGGGCCCGCGGCCUAUCAGCUUGUUGUUGGGGUAAUGGCCUACCAAGGCGACGACGGGUAGCCGGCCUGAGAGGGUGACCGGCCACACAGGGACUGAGAUACGGCGCAGACUCGAAGGGGAGGCAGCAGUGGGGAAUAUUGCACAAUGGGAGGAAGCGUGAUGAAGAGAAGCAGGGUGAGGGAAGACGGCCUUCGGGUUGUAAACCUCUUUCACCAGGGACGAAGCGUAAGUGACGGUACCUGGAGAAGAAGCACCGGCCAACUACGUG
rnacentral:rRNA from 1 species